CGCACUUAGAAAACGAGGGAGGGGUGUAAAAACAAAUCAGUAAAAGGGGAAAAAGAAGAGAAAUCUGUGAUAUUUAACAGCUUGGACGAGCCGGUGCUACACCAACUUCUUAGAAAAACUUCGAUAGCGAGUCCAUGUUAAAAAUAGAAGAAAGGGCUUCCUGUGUUUUUACUGUAGGCUAUGUAGGACUUUAACACCCAACGGGAAGAGAAAAGUAAAUCAGCAAGAAGGGAAAACUGAGAAGGAAACGAGGAGAGAUCAACAUGGAAAUGAAAACACGAAGCCGAAGGACACUACCCCCUUCGUUUAUGGCUACGUAAGAUUUAUGACUUCUACCACACAGGACUAGCUGUAAACAGCUACUUUAAAAAGAUGCAUUUCGUGUGGGAACUUGAAUAGAGAGGAUCACCAACGGUGUAGGAAGAAGGUAGGAGACAAAAAUCACAUACCGGGGAAGACAAGUUACAAUUUCUGAGUUAUGGCAAGAGAAGAAUCUAUACGAACAUGAUUUUUGGGAUUACAACAUGCCGGUGCUUGUUAGAAGAUUGAGGAAGAGUAAUUCCGUUAUUUCCAUAGGAUGACUUAGAUGCGUCGUCUUCCUGAUACAUUGGAGUUGACUGAGUCAUGGAUAUACUAUUUCAACGUUGGAAUAUAUGGACAGAUUUUGGGAUGCAAGGUUUUCCUUUUUCCUGCAGUGAACAUUGCAACCAACAUAUUACAUAAAGAGACUACAAACUCAAUGAGACUUUUCGUUGGGAUUUCCUAUUUUGUUCACGAGAAGGAUAGCUUUUUAGGUGGAAAGUGUUUUGAAUGUGGUGUAUUGUUUUUUUUCAAGGGUAAAUGCUUGUGAUUGUGUGGUGAAUAUGCCAUCGAGUGUGAAUGUAUGUCAUUUAAAAUGUAUUGAGCGUUGUCUACUGUAUUCAUAUGACAGACCCUUUACACUGAAAGACAUAGCCUAUCUACGUAUAUAUAUAGAACGUGUUCGUUUUCCAUUUGGACAAUAGGACAUUGCCACCUCUUUGCUUAUUUGAGUUAUCCUAUGAUUCUUCUGUCACACAUGCUGUAAAGAAGAAUGCUGUUGCAUGACUAAUCUACAUAAUGCUACACACCCAUAGUUUCAUCAUUCAUAAUACCCCCCCCCCCCACACAGAUAUUACACGAUAGCAUUCAUUGCAUCAUCGAUAGAAGAGAGCACAAGCACACACACACACACACACACACACACAGGCACCACCAUUUUGACAAUGAUUUUGAUUUAUCUGUGGUGCUUUAUGCAUAUAGGCAAAGAGAUGUUUAUUUGUAAAAAUAAACUCAAUUGAAAAGCUCAUACUUAUAUUCCAAUGCCUCAGAAAUAUAUCACAGGCCAUUCUCAACAGGAUACGUGUAUGCCAUAUUAGAGAACAUUAUGAUACACCCUCUUGGCCUCGGAAAUGUUUACCGAUUAUGUGAAUGUCUUAUGCAGACUAAAUCAUCACUGUUGAAUGUAUGCAAUGUAUGCAUACUCCAUUCCAAUAAAACAUAUUCACUUUCAAAUA